rnacentral:lncRNA from 1 species
GGAAAGAGUGUGCAGCGGCGACGAGGGGCGCGUGCUCGGCGCGAAUGGAUGCGAGCGCGGCGUUGGACGCAACGGGGGAGAGGGGAUUAGAGCGCCAGAGCGCGAGAAUAUGGUUACGUACGACGAGGUAGUUGGCCUGGUCCGUGCCACCUAUAACUGGGAUGACGGCGGCGGCUACCUCGUCCUCGGAGAGGGUGUCCGCGGGGAAUCCCGCCGCGAGCGCGAUGGUGGCCUCGGAAUCCAGCUCCCGCGCCAGGCGGAGGGAGGAGUUGGUAGGCGGGCGCCCGCGGCGGCGCGGGAUGCCGGCGAGAUGCGCCGCGGUGGCCCCCGACGAGGAGGAAGCGCGGAGGACGCGGACGCCGGCCGUGGGGAUCAUGCCGGGGAACUGCUUCUUGCGGCGGCGGCGCUUCCGCGCGACGGUGGAGUCAUCGACGGCCGCGGUGGUGGAGGGGGCGGACGGGGUCGGGGAGGACGUGGGCGCGUCCUCCUCCAUGGGCUCCGCGGACGCCGCGGCGUCUCCCCCGGCCGCGUCGUCCUCCAUGGGCUCCGCGGCGGCGGCCGCCUCGUCCUGCUCCAUUGGGACGAGAGCUAGAUGCCCCGCGGCUUCGGGCGCGUCAGGCGGUGGUUGCGCCUCGUUGGCUUCGUCCAUUGGGGUUUCCGGGGAUGGAUGCGGCGAGCUCGGCGACUGGAUUUGGGAAUUGGGAGGAGGGUUCAGGGGUUGGUUUAGGGCCAGAACUGUGCGGUGGCCAAGAGAGGGUCGGGACUCGGGAGGGAAGAGCCCCAUGGAAUUAUUUUUCCGUAUAACAUGAAUGAAAGCGUACUUUGCUUCUCCGUUACCGUGCAUAGUUGAUGCAAUCCGUUCCCUCUCCCCUCUCCCUCUCACACGCGUGACCAUAGGCGACCCGUGUCCUCACUCACUGUGUCGAUGAGGCCAUGGGUUCUCUCAUCUCCAAGCAUACCCAUAUUUGCUCUCAAUACCCAAAAACUGUUUUUUUGAAUAUUGGAGGCAAAAAACUAGCUCCAAGAACAUACCCAUGAAUGGUCCUCACAAAAUUUUUUUUUGGGUCACUACCCAGAAUUGGCAUAUAUGGGUAUUGUGGGGCAAAUACCCAUCUGACCCAAAAUCAGCGCGGGGAGUACCAACUGCCCGAGCGGAAACUUCCCCGACUCCUCCCUGACCCCCGCCUGCACGACCCCUCCCUGACCCCCACCUCCCUCCUCCGGCCACCGGCGAGCACGGACGCCGCCGCAUCGAGCCGCCCGUCCGCCGCAUCGAGGCCCCGUCGCCCGGCGCGGGGCGGCCGAUUCUCGGCGCCGGCGACUCUCCCUCCGCCUUCCCGACCUCCAGCACGCCUCCUGGACCUCCGCCCCACCUCCAGGACCUCCACCCCGCCUCGGCCGGCAGCGGCGAGCUCACGCGGCGCCAAGCUCGUGCGGCAGCCGACGACCUCACCGCGGCAGCAGGAGGAGCGGCGUGCGGCCGCGUCCGCUUGCCCGAAGUCCUCACCGCCUCCCUCCCCACGUCCCCGACAGCCGCCGUGUCCCCGACGCCCUCGCCGGCGCAAAUCGCCAGAGAUUGAGUAUGAGUUGAAUGGACACAAGUACACGAAGGGAUAUUAUCUUGCAGAUGGGAUUUAUCCACAGUGGGCAACAUUUGUCAAGCCCAUUCCUAACCCUCAAGGUAAGAAACAAUCUCGUUUUCAUAGUGCUCAAGCAACCGCUAGAAAGGAUGUGGAGAGGGCAUUUGGGGUUUUGCAAGCCCAAUUUACUAUUGUUCGUGGACCGGCUAGGUUUUGGGACCAAAAAACCCUAGGGAGGAUCAUGACGGCUUGUGUGAUAUUGCACAAUAUGAUCAUCGAGAACGAGCGUGGUCAAGAUUUUGAUCACCACUACGACUUUAUGGGGCGGGUGGUGAAUCCUCGUAGACGUGCUGACCGCGUGAGUCACUUCCUUCAAGUUCAUCAUGAAAUUAGAGAUGCAGAUACUCAUCGACAACUAAAAGAAGAUCUCAUCGAGGAGUGGUGGAAGUGGAAUGGAGAACAAGAUACUUGAGUUCGUAUUUCGAUUGCUAAUUCGGUUUCGUUUGACAUUUGUGUUUGAUUUGAUGAACAUUGUGUUGUAAUAUGCACUAUUUGUUUGACAAUUUGAGAAUUUUAAUUUAGCACGUUUGAAUUGAUUGUAUUUGUGAUUCGGUUGCAUUUGCACAAAUAGAACUAGAAGCACAAAGAAUGGGCUAUCAAGUUUUUGGGUAUCCAAAUAUGGGUAAGCUUGAAAAGCAGAAUUUUUUUUGGAUACCCAAACCUUCUCUCUCCUCUACCCAUAAUGGUUUUGACUACCCAAAAUAUGGGUAUGCUCUUGGAGAUGCUCUUACGCUCAUUGCGUCCUUGAUAGCAUGGUGGGGAAACCAUGCCUCUUUGUGCUUCACUUGUAUAGUUGGAGUUAGGUUUUGUGUUUUUCGCGACGUGCGACGAAGCCUGAGCAAACUCUAUCGUAACCAGACAUAUUCAUUUUUCCCAUGUAAUUUGGAAGGUACUUUUUGUGCUAUUUAAUAGCUUAGAUGGUAUGUCACUGUCAGAGUCCAUACAACUGCCUAGAUUGUCGGGGUUGUAUCUCUCUCAUUGUCACAACUGUGUUUUGACGCUGUCGCCGUCUAAGACUUCUUUGAUCCCAACUCCAUCUCGACAAUGUCCUAUUGACGAGGUUGAGGGGUACGUGAAAACCCAAUUUUGUUGUUCCUUUGGCAUGACGGAUCUCGUGUUCAUGGGAUGUGUGCAGUUGUCCUCUCGAGCAAUAUUAGAGAGGAGACAAAGAUAUAAGAAUAAGGUAGGGGGUCUAAGGAUGAAGGAUCUGAUGAUCUGCCUCGACAAUGUGUGCCACAUGUGGAUGUAAACCAAUUUAUUUCAUAAAAACCUACAUAUCCAUUUCGAUAUUGCUACUAAUCCAUAAUUGAUUUAAAUGGUUUCAAAAACCUUUCUUAAACUCUUUACCACGGGGAAUUGGGCCAAUCAUGGACCAAAUCAUGUGCAUAUAUGUAAGGGAGCAAAGAGUAGAUAAGGAGAUCAAGUGGAAAGUGCAAGAGAACCAACAAAGUGUAAGGCGGCCAUCCAUAUGUGUUCACACGCUCGUAUGCACGGUCGUAUGAGGUGCCGACGGUGCCGCCUCGUCCAAACCUACAAAUAGCGUUAAAGGGUCAACGCUAGAUGAGAAAUAGAUCAUUCGUCAGACUUCCAUCUUCGCCAUCCACAACAUCCAAAAACCCUAGUCGCUGCCAUUUUCCAUUUCCAUCCCCAUAGCCAUCUCACCACCAUCACCGCAUCAUUCAUCCUAGUUAGCCAUGCCUUUUAAUUGUGUAUCACCAUUGACAACUAUUGUAAGACAUAAUAUCAAUCAAGUAUUCCUCUUAAUGUGUUCUUCAAUGGUUUUUUCUUGCGAUCUAAUCGCAAUGUGUGAGUAAUUUGGCAAGGUUAUGGUUGGAGGGAUCGAUGGAUUUACUUUGAACUAACGUCUGGUAUGUGUGAAAUAAAAUUGCUUUGUAGUUGUCUCUUGUCUUGUUCGCUAUCUGAUUCCCUCUAGGUACCUAGGAUCACGGAUAUCGAGCUACGGAGAGGAUAAGGGAAGAAAGAUCGUGAAACACUUUUGAACACUGGUGGUUGAGAAGUUUAGUAUGGUAACAUGAAUCAUAUCUAUGGGUAUAUAAUAGGUGUAGUCAUUAAAGUCCAAUGCUUUUGUCUGAUCCUAUCUUAAUUAACGAGGCAACCCUACACGAUGGAUAUGGCCUUUGGUUGGACAACUGACUCCCAAUGCAAGACGUGUUUCGGUCAAGACGUAAUUUGGACACAUCCCCCAUUUCGAUACAUUUCAAGCACAUCUUGACGGGUGUCUUCCAAGGCAGAAAUUAAUAUCACCCCAUUCACAACUAUAUGGUUGUAAGAAUAAGUCCUCAUACACAUGUCAAUUUUUAUUUAUAAGUGCUCAUUGUGCAACUCGAUUUUGAUCCGGUCCAAAAAGUGUAAUUUAAUACUAUUGCAUUGUUAGAAACCCUUGUCUUCGAGGUGCACUUCCACUUGUGGUUUCGAUAAAUCAGGGAUGUGGGAAAAAAGCAAGAAUCAUUUGUGCUCCUUCACCAGAUCACUUAAAGGGAUGGAUCAGUGGUUGGUCUAGGAUUCGGGGAGCAUGGGGGUGAUCCUUAACUGGCACACAACAACAACUUUGGCUCCACUCACAUCACUCUUCUUGGGAUCAUGAAGCGCUCAUGGUCGAUGGUGCUCGCUCGUGCUCGACGCUAGCUAGUGGUGAUGACGACAAUUGUAGAAAUAUCCGAGGGUUUCAUUUGAAUAUGUAUUCUGGUGGUUUUCCUUAAAUGGUUGUGGAAAUGUGUCCUCUCCCAGUGUCUCGUGGUUUUGUGUGGAUGUGUUCUAAGUUGACAUUUUUUAAUUGGCACGCGUACAUUUCUCAAAAAGAAAGGUUAAGCUAGUGUGUAACUCAUUCUUACACAUGGCAACUAGACUUGUACUCCAUCCGUCUCAAAAUAAGUGACUCAAAAAUGACUCNNNNNNNNNNNNNNNNNNNNNNNNNNNNNNNNNNNNNNNNNNNNNNNNNNNNNNNNNNNNNNNNNNNNNNNNNNNNNNNNNNNNNNNNNNNNNNNNNNNNNNNNNNNNNNNNNNNNNNNNNNNNNNNNNNNNNNNNNNNNNNNNNNNNNNNNNNNNNNNNNNNNNNNNNNGAGUCAUUUUUGAGUCACGUAUUUUGGGACGAAGGGAGUAGUUGAUAAAUUUCUAUUAAAGAAGUGCCUAAUCAUCAUGCUUGGUUUAGGGUAUCGACGGGAACUCUCUGUAGGGGAAGAUAAAACCCUUAGCCACAAGGAAUCGGUCUUGAUCUUCCCUAAUAAUAAAGCGCGGAGCGCUUCUGCCGUCCAUCAUGGCACUUUUACAAAAAAAACUUCUAUUUUGUUGAAAUCAACCCGCAGUCCCUUCCUAAGUGGAUCUGAGAAAACGCUUCAUUGUUUCAAAAAGCCCCCUACAUUUGUAAGAAUUUCAAUCGCGAUCCUUUAUCUCAUCUUAUCCAGACGCUCCAUCUCCAGCACCGGCGAGGUGACGGGCGACGCGGUGGCAUCGUGGGGCGGCCUUCCGGCGAGGCAGGAACAACCGUAGGUCGGGGAUGCACAGUUCCCUCCAUUUCUCGGCUGAAUUCGGCGACAGCUUGAGGUCCGUCGAGCUGGAGCUCGCGGGGGCCCAGCCGCGCCCGCCCCGUCCAGUGCGCGGCCGUCUCUGCGCUGUUGUCGUCGUCGUCGUCCGCAUCUCCGUCUGCCUCGGCCGUCCCGGCAGAGCGGCUGGAGCCGUGGGUGGAGCAGCGGGAGGGCGGCUACUGGGUGCUCACGGAGAAGUACCGCACCAGCCUGAACCCGCAGGAGAUUCACCAGCGCCAUGUCUCGCCGCGACGCACCGUCCUGCCGAAACGCGUUGCCGGCGGUCUCAUGGUCGUCGAGCAGGUGCAAGCACAACUCCAGGUUAUGAGACCCCACCCAGCGGGAGAGUCCUUGAGGUGCGGCGACUUGGGGACAUUCAGCACGAGUUCGUGGCCGACGUGCACGUACGCGGACGCCUGUCGGAGGCCGGCCAGCGCCCACAGGCCGCCCACCACUCCGGCGACGGAGGUCUCGAGCGUCGUCCGGGGGAGGAGCGGCACGAGGACACCGACGUACUUGUCUUAUCUCAUUUUUCUGCAGUUGGCUUGGUUAAUGUGUGCUUCGUGGUAAAGAUGACAGAUAAUGGUAAAGAAAAGUCAGGCUCAGGAGCAGCAUAUACAAUCAAUCUAGAGAUCUUCAGUAAGCGGCUUAAGGUGUUUUAUGACCAUUGGAAUCGAAACAAGUCUGAUCUUUGGGCUUCUUCUGAUGCCAUUGCAAUUGCUACCCCGCCUCCUUGUGAGGAUCUCCAUUAUUUGAAAUCCACUGCUCUGGAUGUUUGGUUACUUGGAUAUGAAUUUCUAGAAACCAUAAUUGUCUUUAUGCAGAAGCAGAUACAUUUCUUAUGCAGCCAGAGGAAAGCAAAUCUCAUUGGAAACCUCAAGGAUGCUGCAAGUGAGGCUGUUGGUUCUGAUAUUGUCUUGCAUGUGAAGAGCAAGAAUGGGGAUGGCAUUGACCUGAUGGAUGAAAUACUGUAUGUUGUUUCUGCUCAGUCGAAAUCUAACACUCCAGUUGUUGGUCACAUUGCAAAAGAGGCACGGUAAGCUCCUUGAAACAUGAGCCAAUGAUCUGUCUUUUGGAAGCAUCCAUGAGAAAAAAUUGCAUAUACCUUGGUGAAAGAUUUGGUAAACUGUGACCAUGCCCAGCCUCGACAGUGGCUAUCGAUAGAGAAAAGAGAUUCUCGUUUGGAUAACCCCUCAACCUCCUUUGCCCUAAGUCUGCAUAUGCAUCAUUUUCGUUCCAUGUGUUGUUCCCGGGUGCUCCUGUUGCUGGUUUGUUGUCCUCGAUCAGUGCUUUUAUGUGUUUGUGCUGCUUACUAUGUCCAAACUCCAAACCCCCCUGUUACUGCUGCUUGGGCUAAGCCUGUGGCCCCUGGAGAUGAUGUCUGCAUACUGCAUAUCAAGCUUUCUAGGGUGGCAAAGGUUUUGCGCUCUUGGAGUCGUAUAUGAAAACCAGGUUACAACUUGCUGCUCUCCAAAUUGGCUUUAGCAGGUUAUUCUGGGCCUGGACCAUGGCACCAUGCUCAAGAUCUCCGCGAUCUCAUGUUGUCUAACAUUCCUCUCAAACAGUUCCUGAGGUUUAAGAUCCUUGCACUGGCUGCCAUCGCAAGAUCCAAAAUUAGACAGUGUUCAAGAAUUUAAUGGCUCAAGACAGGAGAUGCCAACUCAAAACUCUUCCACUUUAAAGCCAAUGGCCUAUGGUCUUGAGGGAGAAGGUGACAUCUUCUUAAUUCUGCACGAGUCAGAUGAAGCGUGUAGGUAAAGAAUUUCAGGCAAGGUUCUUUGAAAUCAGGAAUGCUCAAUGCACUACUAUAAAGGUUAAUUUAUAUAUCUCUUGGUUUCUUCAUAUUUUCUUCAUGGAUGGUAAUAUGGGAAAGCAAGUAUUGAAGCUGCACUUUUUUUAAAUCUCUGAGUUUUCUCUUGGAUUAUAAUAUUAUGGGUUAACUUAUUAUAACAGAAAGUAUCCUAGCAAACCAAACAAUGCAAACUUUUUUUAGCCAUUUUACAAAGAUGGCAAGGCCGACAACAUAAUUCUUCAUGUUGAGAAUUGUUAAUGUGGGUCAUAAAUCAAACAAUUACUCGUGUUAUAGGCUACGGGAUGUGAUGCUCUUUUUUUCUCCCGGUGCAACGCACGAGCAUUUUUACUAGUAGAAGAAAAAGAAGGUGACCUAGCAUGGGGUUCCCUCACCUCCAUUGGCUACCCCGAUGGUGGCAAUAUGGAACGGAACUCUGCGACCUUGUUCCACAUGUGUCAAAUAGUCUAGGGUUCUUAUUUAAAUGAUUUUUUUGUCCAUGGAUUUAGCUCUAGCGGUCAUAAAUAAGUUACCACUCGAUGGGGGUUGUCUCCCACCGGGUAGCCCCAUGAUGACCUAAAACCCAACAAAAGUCGAUGGCGGCCCUCUUAGGGAAUGAAGCAUGGAAAAUAAAAAAAAUCUACGAACACCCAAUAUCUAUUUAUGGAGAUGCAUAUCAAUGAAAGGGAUAGUGUGUCUACGUACCCUUGUAGACUGUUAAGCUAAAGCGUAUAUAACGCGGUUGAUGUAGUCGUACUCUUCGCAGUCCAAUCACGAUCUGAUCAGAUUUAGCACCGAACGAACGCACCUUCAUGUUCAGCACACGUGCGGCUCCAUGACGUCUCCGCCUCCUUGAUCGAGCAAGAGAAGGCUGAGUAGUAGAUGGGAUCGCUAGCAACUCGAUGGCAUGUCGGCGAUGGUGGUGGUGCUAUCCGUGCAGGGUUUUGUCGAGCACUGCCAAGAUCAUGAACGGAGGAGAAAACAGAGUAGGGAAAAAGGGAGGGUUGUGCCAGAACUUGGGGUGCGAUCGCCCUCCCUCUCCCACACUAUAUAUAGGGGCAAGGGGGGAGGGGCGCCAGCGCUAGCCCCUCUUCCAAGGGAGGGGCUGCCUGGGGGGAGCCUUGGGCCCCAAGGCAAGGGGCGCCCCCUUUACGAUUUCCUUCCCACCCUAGGUGCAUGGGCCUUGGGGAGGGAGUGGAUCCCAGCCCGCAGAGGCUCAUGCGCCCCCUCCUUAGCCCAUGUGUACCUCGGGGCAGGUGGGACCCUCUUGAUGGACCCUCGGUGACCCCUCGGCACUCCCGGUACAUUAUAAAAAAAACCAAAAUCUUUCCGAAACCCGAAUAUCACUUUUCCAUAUACAAAUCUUUACCUCCGGACAAUUCCGGAGCUCCUCGUCACGUACGGGAUCUCAUCCUGGACUCCGAACAACAUUUAGUCACCAACACACAUAUCCCAAUACUACUCUAGCAUCACCGAACACUACUACACGAAAGUCCUAAGACGACACAUCAAUAAGACACCCUUCGACCAGACUAUGUGCAAUGCAUGAAUCACAAACUGUAUAGUUCUAGUUCCCUCGCCAAUAACAUGAACUAUGUGCGAUGAUGGAUCCAUCACAUACGAUUGAGAAAAGACUUAAGUGUGUGAUAUGUGUCAUACAGUUGUUACAUGCAAACUGUUUGUGAUUAGCUAAAAUAACACAAACGACUAUAGAUUUAGUGUGUGCGAUAGAGGGCACACAAUUCACUAUGAAAAAUUGUGUGCGAUGAUACAACAAAACAUAAACUAUAUGGCAUAACAAGAUGUGUGCGAUAGACAACAAACAGGUGAGUAAUCAAAACAUGUGCAAACCCAAAAAUAACAUAAAAAAUUGUUGCUAAUAACUUGUGUGUGUUGUGGGAAAACACUUGCUAGUAUAUAAUUAUGAGUGAUUGAUGAAAUCAUCACCGACGUGUUUCACGAUUUAGUGUGUGUGUACUAUGAUUUGCUCAGUCUACACAACAUAUAUGUUGUCUCUAAAAAACAACAACAUAUAUACUUACAAGAACAAGAUUGCAUAACCAAAAAAGAACACAAAGCCAUUUCAAAUAUUGUAUCAUUAAUACUAGAAAAAUUACAUGGUUCAAAAUCCAGCAUUACAAGGCCCAAAUUCAAAGAUUACAAGGUUCAAAUUGAUACUAGAAAUCAAAUGCACGCGUCCCGCUCAGCCUGUUAUCCAAGCAUUUCUUCCUCCUCUGUCCCGUCUUGUCACCGUGUUGUUGUUCGAGGAUUCUACUACACACUUUGGCAACGCACAUGCAUUUAUUUUGGCCACGUGUCAGCUCAAAGAGGUGUCGGUGAGCCCGUUCCCACGCACAUCCGUGCAAGCUUCGCGUCCGUCUCGUCCCCCCCUAAAAAAAUCCUUACCGGGCUUCUUUCCUAAGUUUCCAUUGAUGGUGUUUCCCCAGCAACCACCGUUUGCCACCACUUCCCCAUCGAUUUACCUUCACAAUUGAAUGAGCAUAAGAGCUGGCGCACGACACACACGGAUGCACACCUAGUGCAACCUAUCCCAUCUACCAAGCAUGCGAAUGAGAUGAAGCACCGCCUCUACAAUCAACCUUCUCCACGAAAAAAAGAUCCGACGUAAUGGGCGUCAAGGCCAAGGGCGUCCUCGACAACGCGCCGGACAAGGUUGUGUUGCAUGUCAUCACGAGGGUUGAGAAGACCCUUAGCGUAGGAUGUGGCAGCACUGCCGAGCAACAUAGCCGCCUCACGCUAAGAGGCUGCAACGUGCCACACAAGAAGAUCAUUGGUGGUGCCCAUAGAGCAAAACAUGCACGUCCGCCCCCGAGAGGGCAAGGCGUGUUGCAGAACAAGACAGAUGGAGGGCCGGUGAGCGAGAGGUGUGGCGCGCGGUAAAGCAAGAGAGGUUCCUCUCACCCGACAUGACAUCGCAUCUAUGUCCACGACAAGUGGGUAGCCCAAUUUCUUGCCAGGAAUGGACAACGGCCGUCUGCAUCGUAUUUGGACCAGAACCUGACUGCAUCGUACUUGCACGGGACACCGUUCAUGACGUUCGCAUGGGUCAUGCUAUUCGCCUUGUCCGUGACCCCCUCGAUGCCAAUGGGUUGGUUGGUAGGCUUGAGCGCCUCCUUUGCCCAGGUGUCCAUCGCAGAGUAGUAGAAGAAAACGGCAGUCACAUCCUUGAGAUGGUAAUCUUUGACAAAAUAGACAACUUGGAGCUUGAGAUCGCCCUCCAGGUGUACCGCGAGCGUGUCAACCGCAUGGGCGAAUGCCUGAACGAGUUCAUGCAAAGCCAAGAUCUUCCGAAGGUUAGAGUGGUAGGCAUGGGAGCGUUUUAUUUUGUUGAAUCAUUUUAAUACCGAUCGUAAUGUCUGCACAACAACCAUAAUAUUGGUAUAUUUCAAUGUGUGAAUGAUUUAUGUUCUGUUGUUACGUUUCAAUGUGUUUCAAUGUGUCUAACAGCUAGAGCAAGAAAUGAGUACGAAAACAUAUAGAAAUGUGAAUAUAUAUAUAUAUUAAUUGUUCAAUAGCUCACUGCAUACAUCAAACAUAUAUCAUCACAUAUACAUGAUGAUAGUAUUUAACUAAUACGUGCAAUGAAUUGAUACGUCUUCAUCGUAUCUACUUCUUCUAAUGCUUUUGCUCUUUUUUGGACUCUAAUUUGCAUGAUUUGAAUGAAACUAACCCAGACUAACGUUGUUUUCAACAGAACUACCAUGGUAUAGUUUUUGUGCAGAAAUAAAAGUUCUUGGAAUGGAAAAAAACUUUUUAGAGGUUGUUUUUGAAAUAAAUGAAAAAUACUGGAAUCAAGACCCACCACAAGGGAGGACACAUGCGCCCACUAGACAUCACGUCGUGCUAGGCCCCUCUGGCGCGGCCUCGUGUCUAAUGGGGCUCGUCUAGUGGGGCCCACGUGGCUCGGCUGACCCUAAUUCCAAUGCUACAAAAUCCUAUUUUCGGAGAAAAAAGAAGAGAGGAAGUUUCAUCGCGUAUUACGAUACGGAGCCGCUGCCACCUCCUGUUGUGCAUCGGGGGCCUAAUCUAGAGUCCGUUUAGGGCUUCAGAGAGGGGAAUCUUCGGUCUUCGUCAUCACCAACCCUCCUCCAUCGCCAACUCCAUAAUGCUCUCCAUCGGGAGUGAGUAAUCCCUUCGUUGGCUUGCUGGUCGGUGAUGAGAUGGAUGAGAUUCAUCAUGUAAUCGAGUUAGUUUUGUUAGGGCUUGAUCCCUAAUAUCCACUAUGUUCGGAGAUAGAUGUUGUUAUACUUUGCUAUGCUUAAUGCUUGUCACUAGGGCCCGAGUGUCAUGAUUUCAAAACUGAACCGUUUAUGUUUUCACCAUCAUAUCUAUGUUCCUAACCCGAUCUCGCAAGUUAUGUGCACCUACUACGUGUUAGGAUCCGCAUACCCAAACUGACAAUAAUUGGGAUUCUUUCCGGUGAUUACCGUAGUAUGAGGAGUUGAUGUAUUCACUAUGUGUUAAUGCUUUGCUCUGGUUCUCUGUUAAAAGGAGGCCUUAAUAUCCCUUAGUUUCCUUAUGGACCCCACUUCCACGGGAGGGUAGAACAAAAGAUGUCAUGCAAGUUCUUUUUUUGUAAGCACGUAUAACGAUUUAUGGAAUACAUGCCUACAUUAUAUCGAUGAACGGGAGCUAGUUAUGUGUGGCCCUAUAUUGUGACUAUUAUAUGAUGAAUAUUAUCCAGCAAUAUCACCGAUCCAAUGCCUACGAGUUUUCCAUAUAUUGUGCUUGCUAAGUUACUACUGUUGUUACUGCUGUUACAACUCCUACAACACUGCCAUCACUGUUACCGUUACUACUGCUACUAUUACCACUGCUAUCAAAAUUAUCAUAUGAAAGCACAUAUGCUCCCUUGGUGGUUUUGAUAAGUCAUGACAACAUACAUUGUAUUUUGGACUAACACUUUUACCCAGUAUAUUUCAGGUAUAGUCCAGAGAGAGCAUUGGCCAAAGGAUUGUGAGGAGAAGCCCCUUGAUAAAGGAAUAGGAUUGGCUCAAGCUUCAAGCAAGAAGACUCUACAUUUUACAUUUAUGAGAAAUCACUUUUGAGUCCAUAGGAAAGCCAAUACUAUUAAAAGGGGGUGAGGUAUUAUGAUGAAUUGGUUGCUCAAGUGCUUAGAGAUAGCCACCAAAAAUAUUCACUUAUUCUCCCACAAAAUAUCUGUGACGACUGCCAAACCAGCAAAAUCGGUGCCACCAACUUUUUCCACUCGGCCCUACGGAUUUUCCAUCACAGAUCCUUUGCCAAAGCCCAACCCUAUCAUCUCAGUACCACCAACAUUAAUAUCGGCGCCAUCGAGAUCAGUGACCAACUUUAUCUUGAGCAAAUUUAAAGAAUCGAAAUUUCCGAGAUUGGAAUCGGUCUCAUAAUAUUUGGAAACCGCUCUAGGUCAUUAUAUUGGUACCACCGAGGUUCAUAUAUCGGUCUCACCGAGAAUUCAAAAGUCGCCACAUUUAGUGCAACUCGGUACCACCGAGAUUCAUUUCGGUGUCACCGAGUUGGGCAAUAAUGUUAUAAUGGGGGGAUGCCUAUAUAUACCCCUCCACCUCCUCUCAUUCGUAGAGGAAGCACUAAGAACACAGUUACACUUGCCAGAUCCAUUUUCCUGAGAGAGAGCCACCUACUCAUGUGUUGAGAUCAAGAGAUUCCAAUACAACCAUUUGAAACUUGAUAUGUAGCCUCCCCAAGUUGCUUUCCACAAAAUCAAUCUCUCCUACCCAUGCCAAAUAUGUGAGAGAGUGAUUGAGUGUUGAGGAGACUAUAUUUUGAAGCACAAAUGAAGGAGAUCAUCGUUCUACCGCAUCUAUUACCUUUUGGAGGGUGUGCCUACUAGAUUGGUUAGGUGUCGCUUGGGAGCCUCUUACUUCAUGUUGUGGAGUUGAACCAAGAAGUUUGUAAGGGCAAGGAGAUCGCCUACUUCGUGAAGAUCUACCGCGAGUGAGGCUAGUCCUAUGUGGAUGUAAGCCAUGGUGGAAUAGACAAGGUCGCUUCUUCGUGGACCCCUUAUGGGUGGAGCCCUUCGUGGACUCCUGCAGUCGUUACCCUUCGUGGGUUGAAGUCUUCACUAACAUGGACGUACGAUAGCACCACGUAUCGGAACCACGCCAAAAAUUGACGUGUGAAUGUUUGCAUUUGAUCUUCCUAAACUAUAUUCCUUACUUACAUGUGCAAAGUUUUACUUUCGCUACCAUAUUUGUUGACUAACAUGUGUAUGGUGCACUAGACUUGUUAGAAUCGCUAAAAUCUGUCAACCAUUAAAAUUUGGAAAAGGCUAGGAUAUUAAUUUAUGCAAGUAGUCUAUUCACCCCCCUCUAGACACCCCUUCUAUCGACCCAACAAUUGGUAUCUGCUACGGCGAUAUAAAUCUUCUGUCGUCUCUUGAGCUUGCGUUGGUUUUUCCCUUGAAGAGGAAAGGGCGAUGCAACACAGGAGCAGUAAGUAUUUCCCUCAGUUUGAGAACCAAGGUAUCAAUCUAGUAGGAGAAUCGCGUCAAGUCCAGAGUACCUGCACAAACACAAAAGAGCUUGCACCCAACGCUAUAAAGGGGUUGUCAAUCCCUUCAAGAUUGAUUGCAAAGUGAGAACUGAAGGCAGAAAGUGUAACAAAGUAAAAGUGUAAGGAUGAAAAUAUGGUGUGAAGUAGACCUGGGGGCCAUAGUGUUCACUAGAGGCUUUUUUCAAAAUAGCAAAUAUUACAGUGGGUGAACAAAUUACUAUCGAGCAAUUGAUAGAACCGCGUAAAGUCAUGACGAUAUCUAAGGCAAUGAUCAUACAUAUAGGCAUCACGUCCGAGACAAGUAGACCGAUACUUUCUCCAUCUACUACUAUUACUCCACACAUCGACCGCUAUCCAACAUGCAUCUAGUGUAUUGAGUUCAUGACGAACAGAGUAACGCCUUAAGCAAGAUGACAUGAUGUAGAGAGGAUAAACUCAAAACAAUGAUGUAAACCCCAUCUUUUCACUCUUGAUGGCAACAACACGAUGCGUGCCUCGCUACCCCUUCUAUUACUAGGUGAGGUCACCGCACGGUAUGAACCCAAAACCAAGCACUUCUCCCAUUGCAAGAAUCAUAAUCAAGUUGGCCAAACAAAACCCACAACUCGAAGAGAAUUACAAGGAUAUGAAAUCAUGCAUAAGAGAUAUUAGAAGAAACUCAAAUAAGAUUCAUAAAUAAUCUGAUCAUAAAUCCACAAUUCAUCGGAUCUCGACAAACACACCGCAAAGAAGAUUACAUCGGAUAGAUCUCCAUGAAGAUCAUGGAUAACUUUGUAUUGAAGAUCCAAGAGAGAGAAGAAGCCAUCUAGCUACUAGCUAUGGACCCGUAGGUCUAUGGUGAACUAUUCACGCAUCAUCGGAGAGGUCAUGGUGUUGAUGAAGAAACCCUCCGUAUCCGAAUCCCCCCUCCGGUAGGGCACCAGAACGUGCCCCAGAUGGGAUCUUGCGGAGACAAAAGCUUGCGGCGGCGGAAAAGUAUUUUCGUGGAUCUUCUGAUUUUUUCUGGGAUUUUAGGGAAUAUAUAGGCGAAAGAUCUAGGGUAGAGGAGGCCCAGGGAGCCCACAAGCUUGGGAGGCGCGCCCCCUGGCCGCGGCUAGGGGGCUUGUGGGGUCCCUGAUGACCCUUUGCCUUGGUUCUCAAGUAUCCUGAUCGUCUUCUGUUUCGGAAAAAAAUAUUUUUGGAAGAUUCUUUCCGUUUGGACUCCGUUUAAAAUCCUCCUCUGAAAAGGGUCAAAAACACGGAAUAAACAGGAACUGGCACUUGGCACUGAGUUAAUAAGUUAGUCCCAAAAAAGAUAUAAAAGGCAUACAAAACAUCCAAAGUUUGACAAGAUAAUAGCAUGAAACCAUCAAAAAUUAUAGAUACGUUGGAGACGUAUCAAGCAUCCCCAAGCUUAACUCCUGCUCGUCCUCGAGUAGGGAAGUGAUAAAGACUGAUUUUUUGAUGUGGAAUGCUACCUAGCAUAGUUGUCAUUUGUAACUUCUUUCAUGUGACACGAAUGUUCAGAUCCGUAAGAUUCAAAACAAUAGUUUGCUAUUGACAUGAAAACAAUAAUACUUCAAGCAAACUAGCAAGGUAAUCAUGAACUUUCGAAAUAACAAGGCCAAAGAAAGUUAUCCCUACAAAAUCAUAUAGUCUGGCUAUGCGCCAUCAUCCCCACACAACUAAUGUAAAUCAUGCACAACCCCGGUAUUGGCCAAGUAAUUGUUUUCGCACUCUUAUUUCUCAAACCUUUUACAACUAUCACGCAAUACAUGAGCGUGAGCCAUGAAUAUAGCACUAUACGUGGAAUAGAGUGUGGUGGUGGUUGUAAGACAAAAAGGAGGAGAUGGUCACAUUGACUCGACGUAUCAAAUGGUUAUGGAGAUGCCCAUUAAUAGAUAUCAAUGUGAAUGAGUAGGGAUUGCCAUACAAAGGAUGCACUAGAGCUAUAAGUAUGUGAAAGCUCAAAAGGAGAACUAGUGGGUGUGCAUCCAACUUGCUUGCUCAUGAAGACAUAGGGCAAUUUGAGGAAACCCAUCAUUGGAAUAUACAAGCCAAGUUAUAUAAUAAAGAUUCCCACUAGUAUGUGGUGGUGAAAAAGCAAGGAGCUCUCAAUCAUGAAGAACAUGGCGCUUUUAUGAAGCACAAGUGUGGAAAAAGAUAGUAGCAUUGUCCCUUCUCUCUUUUUCUCUCUUUUUUUGUUUGGGCUCUUUGGCCUCUUUUCAAUUUUUUUGGUGGGCAUCUUUGGCCUCUUUUUUUAAAUUUCCUCGCAUGGGACAAUGCUCUAAUAAUGACGAUCAUCACACUUUUAUUUACUCACAACUCAAAGCUUAGAACGAUGAUGACUCUAUAGGAAAUGCCUCCGGCAGUGUACCGGGAUGUGCAACUAUCUAGCUUGGCGUAUGACAUUGAAACAUCUCGCUAGCUAUCUUACGAUCAUGCAAUGGCAAUAUGAGAGUGACGACACAAGUCAUGAGACAGAACGGUGGGAGUUGCAUGCUAAUAUAUCUCGGAAUGGCUAUUAGAAUGCCAUAGUAGGUAGGUAUGGUGGCUGUUUUGAGGAAGGCAUAUGGUGGGUUUGUGCAUCGGCGAAAAUUGCGUGGUACUAGAGAGGCUAGCAAUGGUGGAAGGUGAAAGUGCAUCUAUACCAUGGACUCACAUUAGUCAUGAAGAACUCACAUACUUGUUGCGGAAGUUUUUAUUAGUAAUCGAAACAAAGUGCUAAACGCAUACUCCUAGGGGAAGGGUUGGUAGGUGUUAACCAUCGCGCGAUCCCGACCUCAACACAAUGGAUAACAAUCAAUAGAUCAAUUAUGCUCCGACUUCCUAACAUAGCGGUUCACCAUACGUGCAUGUUACGAGAAUCACUAACUUCAACACAAGUAUUUCUUGAUUCACAACACCCUACUAACAUAACUCUUAAUAUUACCAACUCCACGUCUCAAAACUAAUUGAGAGGAAUCAAAACUUCUCUUUCUACUCAAUGCACAUGAAGAUGGAGGUUUUUCUAUCCUCUUUGGGUACCUAUCACCUUUGGGACUACUUUCACAGCACAAGCCAACUACCAAGUCAUGCACCGCCGUGCUCUAAAAGAUAUAAGUGAAGCACAUAGAGCAAAAUGGUCUAGCUCAAAAGGUAUAUGUGAAGCACGAUGAGCACUCUAGCAAAAUCACGAUGAGUGCGUGAUACGUCUCCAACGUAUCUAUAAUUUUUUAUGGUUUCAUGCUAUUAUCUUGUCAAACUUUGGAUGUUUUGCAUGCCUUUUAUAUAUUUUCUGGGACUAACUUAUUAACUCAGUGCCAAGUGCCAGUUCCUGUUUUUUCCAUGUUUUUGACCCCUUUCAGAGGAGAUUUUGAAACAGAGUCCAAACGGAAGAAAAUUCCCGAAAAGAUUUUUUCUUAACAGAAGAAGAUCGGGAAGCUUGGGAGCCAAGGCAGGGGAGCCUCAGGGGGCCCACAAGCCCCCACCCCGCGGCCAGGGGGUAGGUCGCGACCCACAGGCUUGUGGGCCCCCUGGGCGCCCUCUCACAAAGGGGUUGCGCCUAUAUAUUCCCUAAAAAUCCCAAAAAAAUCAGGAAAAGCCAGGGCGCCCCCUGGCUUGUGGGCUCCGUGAGGCUCCUUUGCCCUAGGUUUUGCGCCUAUGUAUUCCCUAAACUUGCAUAAAAAUCAGGAGAUCAUCGAAAGUACUUUUCCGCCGCCGCGAGCUUCUGUCUCCGCAAGAUCCCAUCUGGGGCACGUUCUGGUGCCCUACCGGAGGGGGAUUCAGACACGGAGGGCUUCUUCAUCAACACCAUGACCUCUCCGAUGAUGCGUGAGUAGUUCACCAUAGACCUACGGGUCCAUAGCUAGUAGCUAGAUGGCUUAUUCUCUCUCUUGGAUCCUCAAUACAAAGUUCUCCAUGAUCUUCAUGGAGAUCUAUCCGAUGUAAUCUUCUUUUGCGGUGUGUUUGUCGAGAUCCGAUGAAUUGUGGAUUUAUGAUCAGAUUAUCUAUGAAUCUUAUUUGAGUUUCUUCUGAUCUCUCUUAUGCAUGAUUUGAUAUCCUUGUAAUUCUCUUCGAGUUGUGGAUUUUGUUUGGCCAACUAGAUCUAUGAUUCUUGCAAUGGGAGAAGUGCUUGGUUUUGGAUUCAUACCGUGCGGUGACAUCCACCCAGUGACAGAAGGGGUAGCGAGGCAUGCAUCGUGUUGUUGCCAUCAAGGGUAAAAAGAUGGGGUUUUCAUCAUUGGUUUGAGAUUAUCCCUCUACAUCAUGUCAUCUUGCUUAAGGCGUUACUCUGUUCGUCAUGAACUCAAUACACUAGAUGCAUGCUGGAUAGCAGUUGAUGUGUGGAGUAAUAGUAGUUGAUGCAGAAAGUAUGGGUCUACUUCUCUCGGACGUGAUGCCUAUAUGUAUGAUCAUUGCCUUAGAUAUCGUCAUGACUAUGCGCGGUUCUAUCAAUUGCUCGACAAUAAUUUGUUCACCCACCGUAAUACUUGCUAUUUUGAGAGAAGGCUCUAGUGAACACUAUGGCCCCCGGGUCUACUCCACACCAUAUUUUCAGCCUUACACUUUUUACUUCGUUGCACUUUCCGCCUUCAGAUAUCACUUUGCAAACAAUCUUGAAGGGAUUGACAACCCCUUUGAAGCGUUGGGUGCAAGCUUGUUUGUGUUUGCGCAGGUACUCUCGACUUGACGAGACCCUCCUUCUGGAUCGAUACCUUGGUUCUCAAACUGAGGGAAAUACUUACUGCUACUGUGCUGCAUCACCCUUUCCUCUUCAAGGGAAAAACCGACGCAAACAAGAGAAGUAACAAGAAGAAUUCCUAGCGCCAAGGAAGGACUUUUGUUGCCGUAGCAGAAGAAUUUUUGGCGCCGUUGCCGGGGAGCAAGAUCAAGUCAAGAACUCAUCCAAGUAGGUGUCGCAAACUCAUCUCUUGCAUUUACUUUGUUUGCCAUUUGCCUCUCGUUUUCCUCUCCCCCACUUCACCAAUUUGCCUUUUUCGUUCGCCAUUUUUGUUCGCCCUUUUUCUCGCCUGCUCUUUGUUUGCUUGUGUGCUUGCUUGCUUGCUGAAGUCACCAUUAAUUAAAACACCAAACUUUGUGACUUCUCGAAUACUAAUAAUAAUGAUUUUAUUAGUACUCCGAUUGCUCCCGCCACUAGUGCGGAGUCAUACGAAACUAAUGCCGCUUUGCUGAAUCUUGUUAUGAAAGAGCAAUUCUCCGGCCUUCCUAGUGAAUAUGCCGCAUCCCAUCUCAAUACCUUCAUUGAACUUUGCAACAUGCAAAAGAAGAAAGAUGUGGAUAAUGAUGUGAUUAAAUUGAAGCUUUUUCCUUUCUCGUUGCGAGAUCGCGCAAAAACUUGGUUUUCUUUUUUGCCCAAAAAUAGUAUCGAUUCUUGGGAUAAGUGCAAAGAUGCUUAUAUAUCCAAGUAUUUUCCACCAGCUAAGAUUAUCUCUCUCCAUAAUGAGAUCAUGAAUUUCAAGCAACUUGACAAUGAACAUGUUGCACAAUCUUGGGAGAGAAUGAAAUUAAUGAUUAGAAAUUGUUCCGCUCAUGGCUUGAGUCUUUGGAUGAUUAUUCAAAUCUUUUACGCUGGCUUGAAUUCCGCUUCUAGAAAUAUCUUGGACUCCGCCUCAGGUGGAACGUUCAUGGAAAUCACGUUAGGGGAAGCCACAAAGCUCUUAGACAACAUCAUGACGAACUACUCUCAGUGGCACACUGAAAGGUCACCUACUAGUAAGAAGAUACCCCUAUCGAAGAAAUUAACUCGUUGAGUGCUAAGAUGGACGAGUUAAUGAAUUUGGUUGCUAGUAGAAGUGCUCCUUUGGAUCCUAAUGAUAUGCCCUUGUCUUCUUUGAUUGAGAGUAGCAACGCUAGCUUGGACGUUAAUUUUGUUGGUAGGAAUAACUUUGGCAACAACAAUGCUUUUAGAAGAAACUAUGUUCCUAUGCCUUUUCCUAGUAACUCCUCUAAUAAUUUUGGCAACUCCUACAACAAUAUUAAUGGAAAUUACAAUAAAUUACCCUUUGAUCUAGAGAGUAAUAUCAAAGAGUUCAUCAACUCUCAAAAGAUUUUCAAUGCUUUGAUAGAAUUGACGAUUUGGCUAAGAGCGUUGAUAGAAUUUCUAGUGAUGUUGAUGCUUUGAAAGUUAGAUGUGAUCCUCCCAAAAUCAACAUGGAUGAAACUUUGAAAGCUAUGCGUGUUUCAAUGAUUGAGAGCCAAGAAAGAACCGCCCAAAUUCGUGCUAGACAUGAAUGGCUUAAAAAGGCGUGUUCUCGUGAUGAGAAUCACGAAGAUCUUAAAGUGCUUGGUGUGACUCCCAUUGAAUAUUUGUUUUCUUGUGUCAAACCUAAUGCUUAUGGGGCUGGAUAUGAAUCCACUUUGGUUGAAAAGUACCCCAAUGAUUCGGAGUCCAUCUAUCUUGAUGCUAAAAGCAUUGAAAGUGGAGUAGGAGACGUUAAAACGUUGAGUAGUAAUGAAAUUACUACCGUGGAUUUCAAGGAAUUCAAUUAUGAUAGUUGCUCCUUGAUUGAAUGCAUUUCCUUGAUGCAAUCCAUGUUAAACUCUCCACACGCUUAUAGCCAAAACAAGGCCUUUACCGAUCAUAUCGUCGAAGCUAUGAUAAAAUCUCUUGAAGACAAACUUGAAUUGGAAGUCUCUAUCCCUAGAAAGCUUCAUGAUGAGUGGGAACCUACCAUCAAAAUCAAAAUAAAAAACUAUGAGUUUAAUGCUUUGUGUGAUUUGGGUGCUAGUGUUUCUGCGAUUCCAAAGUCUUUAUGUGAUGUUCUGGGUUUUAAUGAGAUUGAAGAGUGUUCUCUUAAUUUGCAUCUUGCUGAUUCUACUAUCAAAAAACCCAUGGGAAGGAUCAAUGAUGUUAUUAUUAUUGCAAAAUAAACUAUGUACCCAUGGAUUUCAUUGUGCUUGACAUUGAUUGCAAUCCUACAUGCCCUAUUAUUCUUUGUAGACCUUUCCUAAGGACUAUCAGUGCUAUCAUCGAUAUGAAGGAAGGGAAUAUUAGAUUUAAUUUUCCUUUAAGGAAGGGCAUGGAACAGUUUCCUAGAAAGAAAAUAAGAUUGCCUUAUGAAUCCAUGAUGAGGGCCACUUAUGGUUUGAGCACCAAAGACGACGAUACGUGAUUCUAUCGCUUUUGUGCCUAGCUAAGGGCGUUAAACAAUAGCGCUUGUUGGGAGGCAACCCAAUGAAUUUAUCCUUUUCUUUCUGUUUUGUUGCGUCCACACCAUCAAAAUUCUGUUGUGAUUGUGUUUUUUGUGUUUAUUUUUGUGUUUAGCCAAGCAAAACCUUUAUGACUAGUCUUGGUAAUGGUUGUUUGAUCCUGCUGGAAAAAAGACAGAAACUUUUCGCUCACGAGAUGAUUUUUCAUUUUUAUUCAGUAAGAUAUUUUGAGUUGAUUCUUUUUGCUGCUGGUUGAUAUGCUUUUUCCGCAGGCCUUCGUAAUUUUUCAGAUUUUUUAAGGUACCAUAAGUAUACGAAGUAUACAGAUUUCUACAAACUGGUCUGUUUUUGACAGAUUCUGUUUUUGUUUAGUUGGUUGCUUGUUUUGAUGAAACUAUGGUUAGUAUCAGUGGGUACUAGCCAUGGAAAAGUGAGAAUACAGUAUCCCAACACCAAUAUAGAUAGAAUUCAAGUUUGCUACCGUACCAAAAGAAGUGGUAGUUUGUUUUCUUGUGCUAAUGUUAUCACGAGUUUCCGUUUAAGUUUUGUGUUGUGAAGUUCUCAAGCUUUGGGUGAUGUUCUCAUGGACAAAGAGAUAUAGAGUGGAAAUAGCUCAAGCUUGGCGAUGCCCAAGGCAUACCAAGCCAAUUCAAGGACACCAAAAAGCCUAAGCUUGGGGAUGCCCCGGGAAGGCAUCCCCUCUUUCGUCUUCAAUCCAUCGGUAACAUUACUUGGAGCUAUAUUUUUAUUCACCACAUGAUAUGUGUUUUGCUUGGAGCAUCUUGUAUCUUAGGAGUAUUUUCCUUUUGUUGUGUCACAAUCAUCCUUGCUGCACACUUUUUUGAGAGAGAGACAUGCACUCAUCGUGAUUUUGCUAGAAUGCUCAUAGUGCUUCACUUAUAUCUUUUGAGCUAGAUACUUUUGCUCAUAGUGUUUCACUUAUAUCUUUUGAGCUAGAUUCUUUUGCUCUAGUGCUUCACUUAUAUCUUUAGGGCACAGUGGUGCGUGAUUUGGCAGUUGGCUUAUGCUAUGAAAGUAGUCCCAAAUGUGAUAGGUACCCAAAAGAGGAUGCAAAAACCUUCAUCUUCAUGUGCAUUGAGUAGAAAGAGAAGUUUUGAUUCCUCUCAAUUAUUUUUGAGACGUGGAUUUGGUAAUAUUAAGAGCUAUGUUAGUAGGGUGUUGUGAAUCUAGAAAUAAUUUUGUUGAAGUUAGUGAUUCCCGUAGCAUGCACGUAUGGUGAACCGCUAUGUUAGGAAGUCACAGCAUAAUUGAUCUAUUGAUUGUCAUCCUUUGUGUUGAGGUCGGGAUCGCGUGAUGGUUAACACCUACCAACCCUUCCCCUCGGAGUAUGCGUUUAGCACUUUGUUUCGAUUACUAAUAAAAACUUUCGCAACAAGUAUGUGAGUUCUUCAUGACUAAUGUGAGUCCAUGGUAUAGAUGCACUUUCACCUUCCACCAUUGCUAGCCUCUCUAGUGCCGCGCAAUUCUCGCCGGUGCGCAAACCCACCACAUGCCUUCCUCAAAACAGCCACCAUACCUACCUACUAUGGCAUUUUCAUAGCCAUUCCGAGAUAUAUUGCCAUGCAACUUCCACCGUUCUGUCUCGUGACUUGUGUCGUCACUCUCAUAUUGCCUUUGCAUGAUCGUAAGAUAGCUAGCGAGAUGUUUCAACGUCAUACGCCAUGCUAGAUCGUUGCACAUCCCGGUACACCGCCAGAGGCAUUUCCUAUAGAGUCAUCACCAUUUUGAGCUGUGAGUAAAGAAAAGUGUGAUGAUCAUCAUUAUUAGAGCAUUGUCCCAUGUGAUGAAAUAAAAAAAGAGGCCAAAGAGCCCAAAAACAAAAAAACAAAAAAAGAGAAAAAAAUAAAAGAAAAAAUAGAGGCCUAAGAGCCCAAAUGAAAAAAGAAAAGAGAGAAAAAGAGAGAAGGGACAAUGCUACUAUCUUUUUCCACACUUGUGCUUCAUAAUAGCACCAUGUUCUUCAUGAUUGAGAGCUUCUUGCUUUGUCACUACCAUAUGCUAGUGGGAAUCUUCAUUAUAUAACUUGGCUUGUAUAUUCCAAUGAUGGGCUUCCUCAAAAUUGCCCUAGGCGUUCGUGAGCAAGCAAGUUGGAUGCACACCCACUAGUUUUCCAUUUGAGCUUUCACAUACUUAUAGCUCUAGCGCAUCUCUUGUAUGGAAAUCCCUACUCAUUCAUAUUGAUAUCUAUUAGUGGGCAUCUCCAUAGCCUUUUGAUACGCCGAGUCAAUGUGACCAUCUUCUCCUUUUUGUCUCACAACCACCACCACACUCUAUUCCACCUAUAGUGCUAUAUCCAUGGCUCACGCUCAUGUAUUGCGUGACAGUUAUAAAAGGUUUGAGAAAGUAAGAGUGCGAAAACAAUUACUUGGCCAAUUCCGGGGUUGUGCAUGAUUUACAUUAGUUGUGUGAGGAUGAUGGAGCAUAGCCAGACUAUAUGAUUUUGUAGGGAUAACUUUCCUUGGCCUUGUUAUUUUGAAAGUUCAUGAUUACUUUGCUAGUUUGCUUGAAGUAUUAUUGUUUUCAUGUCAAUAGCAAACUAUUGUUUCGAAUCGUACGGAUCUGAACAUUCAUGUCACGUGAAAGAAGUUGCAAAGGACAACUAUGCUAGGUAGCAUUCCACAUAAAAAAUUCAUUCUUUAUCACUUCCCUACUCGAGGACGAGCAGGAGUUAAGCUUGGGGAUGCUUGAUAUGUCUCCAACGUAUCUAUAAUUUUUUAUGGUUUCAUGCUAUUAUCUUGUCAAACUUUGGAUGUUUUGCAUGCCUUUUAUAUAUUAUCUGGGACUAACUUAUUAACUAAGUGCUAAGUGCUAGUUCCUGUUUUUUCCAUGUUUUUGACCCCUUCCAUAGGAGAUUUUGAAACAGAGUCCAAACGGAAGAAAAUCCCCGAAAAUAUUUUUUUCAUAACGGAAGAAGAUCGGGAAGGUUGGGAGGCAAGGCAGGGGAGCCUCACGGGCCCCACAAGCCCCCACCCCAUGGCCAGGGGGGUAGGCCGCGACCCACAGGCUUGUGGGCCCCCUGGGCGCCCUCUGACCUAGGGGUUGCGCCUAUAUAUUCCCGAAAAAUCCGAAAAAAAUCAGGAGAUUAUCGAAAGUACUUUUCCGCCGCCGCAAACUUCUGUCUCCGCAAGAUCCCAUCUGGGGCACGUUCUGGUGCCCUGCCGGAGGGGGGAUUCGGACACGAAGGGCUUCUUCAUCAACACCAUGACCUCUCCGAUGAUGCGUGAGUAGUUCACCAUAGACCUACGGGUCCAUAGCUAGUAACUAGAUGACUUCUUCUAUCUCUUGGAUAUUCAAUACAAAGUUCUCCAUGAUCUUCAUGGAGAUCUAUCCAAUGUAAUCUUCUUUUGCGGUGUGUUUUUCGAGAUCCGAUGAAUUGUGGAUUUAUGAUCAGAUUAUUGAUACGUCUCAAACGUAUCUAUAAUUUUUGAUGGUUUCACGCUGUUAUCUUGUCAACUUUGGAUGUUUGGUUUACCUUUUAUAUCUUUUUUGGGACUAACUUAUUAACUCAGUGCCAAGUGCGAGUUCCUGUUUUUUCCGUGUUUUUGACUCUUUUCAGAUCUGAUUUUGGAACGGAGUCCAAACGGAAUAAAAUCCCCAAAAUGAUUUUUUCCAGAACGGAAGAAGAUCGGGAGGCUUGAGGGCCAAGCAAGUGGGCCCACAGGGAGCCCACAAGCCCUGUUGCCGCGACCAGGGGGAGGCCGCGGCAACCAAUCUUGUGGCCCUCCUGGCGCUCCCCUGCCCGAGGUCUUUGGCCUAUAAAUUCCCUUAAAAUCCAGAAAAAAUCAGGGCGUCCACGAAAACAAUUUUCUGCCGCCGCAAGAUUCCGUUUCCACGAGAUCUCAUCUGGAGACCCUUCCUGGUGCCCUGCCGGAGGGGACUUUGGAGUUGGAGGGCUUCUUCAUCAACAUCAUCGCCCCUCCAAUGACUCGUGAGUAGUUCACUUCAGACCUACGGGUCCGUAGUUAGUAGCUAGAUGGCUUCUUCUCUCUCUUGGAUCUUCAAUACAAAGUUCUCCAUGAUUUUCAUGGAGAUCUAUCCGAUGUAAUCUUCUUUGGCGGUGUGUUUGUCGAGAUCCAAUGAAUUGUGGAUUUGUGAUCAGAUUAUCUAUGAUAUAUAUUUGAGUCUUUGCUGAUUUCUUAUAUGCAUGAUUUGAUAUCCUUGUAAGUCUCUCCGAGUCUUGGGUUUUGUUUGGCCAACUAGAUCUAUGAUUCUUGCAAUGGGAGAAGUGCUUGGUUUUGGGUUCAUACCGUGUGGUGACCUUUCCGAGUGAUAGAAGGGGCAGCAAGGCACGCAUCAUGUUGUUGCCAUCAAGGGUAACAAGAUGGGCUUUUAUCGUAGAUAUGAGAUUGUCCAUCUACAUCAUGUCAUCUUGCUUAAGGCGUUACUCUGUUCUUUUGGACUUAAUACACUAGAUCCAUGGUGGAUAGCGGUCGACGUGUGGAGUAAUAGUAGUAGAUGCAAAAAGUAUCGGUCUACUUGUUUUGGAUGUGAUGCCUAUAGAUAUAAUUAUUGCCAUAGAUGACGUCACGACUUUGCGCGGUUCUAUCAAUUGCUCGACAGUAAUUCGUUCACCCACCGUCUACUUGCUUUCUUAAGAGAAGCCACUAGUGAACACUACGGCCCCCGGGUCUAUUCACACCUAUCGUUUCCACUUUCGCUUUUACUUUGCUUUGUUACUUUGUUGCUUUCAGUUCUCACUUGGCAAACAAUCUAUAAGGGAUUGACAACCCCUUCAUAGCAUUGGGAGCAAGCUCUUUGUGUUUGUGCAGGUAAUUGUGAUAUUUCUUCACUGGAUCGAUACCUUGGUUCUCAAAACUGAGGGAAAUACUUACCGCCACUGUGCUACAUCACCCUUUCCGCUUCGAGGGAACACCAACGCAAGGCUCCAAGGUCACAGGGGAAUCCUUUGCAUAUUUGCCUAGGAAGUCCCUAAAGGCGUAGCCGUAGCACAAGGAUUCCUGGUGCCGUUGCUGAGGAGUAUCAAGACAAGAAUAGUCUCCCGUCAGCACACUUGUUUCUGGCGCCGUUAUAAGGUCUUUUGUUGCAACAACAGAAGUAUUUCUGGCGCCGUUGCCGGGGAAGGAGAGAUCAAGACCUAUCCAAGUAGGUGUCACAAACUCAUCUUUUGCAUUUACCUUUUUUGCCAGUUGCCUCUCGUUUUCCUCUCCCCCACUUCACAUUUGCCGUUUUCGUUUGCCUUUUUCAUUUGCCUUUUUCAUUCGCCCUUUCCUCUCGCUUGCUUUCUGUUUGCUUGUGUUGCCAUGUGCCUUCAAUAUGCUGCCAUCUUCGCUUGCUGAAAAUCUAGUGAUAUGGAUCCUCAUCCACUUGCUAAUCUCUUUAAGAGAUCCAAUUAUGUUGAUCCAAUUGCUAGUGAGUUGAGUGCACUUGACUAUCUUUAUGGAGCUUUGCUUAAGAUGCGUGAAUCUUAAAAUCGUGAUGUAGAAAUUUAUGAAGUGAUUCACGAGGGCUCCUUGGAUGAAAAGCAUGAUUGCAAUGGUUUCACUAUAAAUUCUAUUAGUGACAAUCAUGCUAAAAAUAUGCAAAACCCUAAGCUUGGGGAUGCUAGUUUUGCUAUGUCCACUACUUGUUGCAAUGAUCAUGAGUGGGGCGAUGAUUUUUCUUAUGAUCUUGAAAAUUUGUUUAAGCCUCAUGAUGAAUAUGAUAUUUGCAAUAAUAUUGAAAGUGGGUUUGGAGAAGUCGUGACUUUCAUUGAUGAUAAUCCCACUAUUUUUGAAGAGCAUCAACUUUGCCUGCAUGUGGAUCAUGAAAAUAAUAUCCUUUCUGAUAGCUAUAUUGUUGAAUUUGAAUAUGAUCCCACAUGUAAUUGCUAUGAGAGAGGAAAAAUAUUGUGGUAGAAACUUUCAUGUUACCAAAUUACCUCUCGUCAUGUUGAGAUUGCUAUUGUCUCUUUCUUCUUCCUUGCAUAUGGUAACUAUUGGUUGUCUUGACAAUCUAUUUUCCUAUAAAAUGCAUAUGCAUAGGAAGUAUGUUAGACUUAGAUGUGAUUUUCACAUGCUUUAUGAUGCUCUCGUUGUGCUUCAAUUUUUGUCUUUUGUGUGAGCAUCAUUGAUUUAUCAAUGCCUAGCUAAGGGCGUUAAACAAUAGCGCUUGUUGGGAGGCAACCCAACGAAUCUAUCUUUUUUCUUUCUGUUUUGUGUUUUCCACACUUUCAUAAUUCUUUUAUGAUUGUGUUUUUUGUGUUUCUUCUUGCGUUUGUGCCAAGCAAAACCGUUAUGAUUAAUCUUGGGGAUGAUCGUUUGGUCAUGCUGGAAAAGACAGAAACUUUCUGCUCACGAAAAUAAUUUUCAUUUUUUUUCUGUAAGAGCUUUUGAGUUGAUUCUUUUUGCUUCUGAUUGCUACGCAAAUUAUUAAGACUGUCGUAAUGUUUCAAAAUUUUUGAAGUACCAGAAGUAUACGAAGUGUACAGAUUGCUACAGACUGGUCGGCUGUUAACAGAUUCUGUUUUUGUUGUGUUGGUUGCUUAUUUUGAUGAAACUAUGGAUAGUAUCGGGGGAUAUUAGCCAUGGAAAUUGAAAAUACAGUAACAUAACAUCAACAUAAGUAGAAUUUAAGUUUGCUACAGUACCUAAGGAAGUGGUGGUUUGCUUUCUUAUGCUAAUGUUAUCACGAGUUUCUGUUUAAGUUUCGUGUUGUGAAGUUUUCAAGUUUUGGGUGAAGUUCUUAUGGAAAAAAAAGAUAAAGAGUGGCAAGAGCUCAAGCUUGGGGAUACCCAAGGCACCCCAAGAGAUUCAAGGAUGCCGUAAAAGCCUAUGCUUGGGGAUACCCAAGGCACCCCAAGAGAUUCAAGGAUGCCGUAAAAGCCUAAGCUUGGGGAUGCCCCGGGAAGGCAUCCCCUCUUUCGUCUUCAAUCCAUCGGUAACGUUACUUGGAGCUAUAUUUUUAUUCACCACAUGUUAUGUGUUUUGCUUGGAGCGUCUUGUAUCGUAGGAUUCUUUUAUUUUUGUUGUGUCACAUUCAUCCUUGCUGCACACCUAGAGAGAGAGACAUGCACUCACCAUGAUUUUGUCGAGCUUCACUUAUAUCCUUUGGUUAGACAAUUCAGCUCACAUGUGCUUCACUUAUAUCUUUUGAGCUAGUUGAUUUUUCUCUAUGUGCUUCACUUAUAUCUUUUAGAGCACGGUGGUGCGUGGCUUGGUAGUUGAUCUAUGCUAUGAAAGUAGUCUCAAAAGGGGUAGUUAUCCAAAGGGAUACGAAAACUUCCACCUUCAUGUGCAUUGAAUAGUUAGAGAAGUUUGAUUCAUCUCAACUAGUUUUGAGUAGUGGUUAUGGUAAUAUUGAAGUUAUAUUAGUAAGGUGUUGUGGAUCUAGAAAUACGUGUGUUGAAGUUAGUGAUUCCCGUAGCAUGCACGUACGGUGAACCGCUAUGUGAUGAAGUCUGAGCAUGAUUAGUCUAUUGAUUGUCAUCCUUUGUGUGGCGGUCGGGAUCGCGCAAUGGUUUAUACCUACCAACCCUUCCCCUAGGAGUAUGCGUUGAAUGCUUUGUUUCGAUUACUAAUAAAACUUUUGCAACAAGUAUAUGAGUUCUUCAUGACUAAUGUUGAGUCCAUGGUUUAGAUGCACUUUCACCUUCCACCAUAACUAUCUUCUUUAGUGCCGUGCAACUUUCGCCGGUGCACAAAACCCACCAUUAGCCUCCCUCAAAACAGCCACCAUACCUACCUACUAUGGCCUUUUCAAAGUCAUUCCGAAAUAUAUUGCCAUGCAACUACCACCAUGACAUGUGCCACCACGUCUACAUUGCCAUUACAUGAUCGUAAGAUAGCUAGCAUGAUGUUUCCAUUAAUGUCUAUGCCAUGCUAGAUCAUUGUCACAGUACACUACCGAAGGCAUUCCAUAUAGAGUCAUCGUUGCUCUAAGUUUUGAGUUGUAAGUGUGAUGAUCAUCAUUGAUGGAGCAUUGUCCCAUGUGAGGAAAUAAAAGAGGCCAAAGAUGCCCACCAAAAAAAGAGGCCAAAGAGCCCAUCCAAAUAAAAUAAAAUAAAAAAAUGAAUGAGAGAAAAAGAGAGAAGGGACAAUGCUACCUCCUAUCCACACUUGUGCAUAUUAAGCACCAUGAUCUUCAUGAUUGAGAGUCUCUCGUUUUGUCACCACCAUAUAGCUAGUGGGAAAUUUUCAUUAUAUAACUUAGCUUGUAUAUUCCAAUGAUAGGCUUCCUGAAAAUUGCCUUAGGUCUUUGUGAGCAAGCAAGUUGUAUGCACACCCACUAGUUUUCUUUAAGAGCUUUCACAUACUCUUAGCUCUAGUGCAUCAUUUGUAUGGCAAUCCCUACUCAUUCACAUUGAUAUCUAUUGAUGAGCAUCUCCACAGCUCAUUGAUAUGCCUAGUUAAUGUGACCAUCUUCUCCUUGUUUGUCUUGCAACCUCCACCUCACUCCACACCACUUAUAGUGCUAAAACCAUGGCUCACACUCAUGUAUUGCGUGAGAGUUGAAAAGGUUUGAGAAAGAAAAGGUGUGAAAACAAUUACUUGGCCAAUACCGGGGUUCUGCAUGAUUUAAAUUCGUUGUGCAAUGAUGAUAGAGGAUAGCCAGACUAUAUGAUUUUGUAGGGAUAACUUUCCUUUGGCCUUGUUAUUUUGAAAGUUCAUGAUUACCUUGCUAGUUUGCUUGAAUUAUUAUUGUUUCCACGUCAAUAGCAAACUAUUGUUUUGAAUCUAAUGGAUCUAAACAUUCACGUCACAUAAGAGAAGUUACAAAGGACAUCUAUGCUAGGUAGCAUGAAAGCAUCAAAAAUUGAUUCUUUAUCACUUCCCUACUCGAGGACGAGCAGGAGUUAAGCUUGGGGAUGCUUGAUAAGUCUCAAACGUAUCUAUAAUUUUUGAUGGUUUCACGCUGUUAUCUUGUCAACUUUGGAUGUUUUGUUUACCUUUUAUAUCUUUUUUGGGACUAACUUAUUAACUCGGUGCCAAGUGCCAGUUCCUAUUUUUUCUGUGUUUUUGACUCUUUUCAGAUCUGAUUUUGGAACGGAGUCCAAACAGAAUAAAAUCCCCAAAAUGAUUUUUUCCAGAAGGGAAGAAGAUCGGGAGGCUUGAGGGCCAAGCAAGUGGGCCCACAAGUCCGGUUGCCGCGGCCAGGGGGGAGGCCGCGACAACCAAGCUUGUGCCCCCCCUGGCGCUCCCCUGCCCUAGGUCUUUGGCCUAUAAAUUCCCUAAAAAUCCAGAAAAAAUCAGGGCAUCCACGAAAACACUUUUCCGCCGCCGCAAGCUUCCGUUUCUGCGAGAUCUCAUCUGCAGACCCUUCCCGGUGCCCUGCCUGAGGGGACUUUGGAGUUGGAGGGCUUCUUCAUCAACACCAUCGCCCCUCCAAUGACUCGUGAGUAGUUCACUUCAGACCUACGGGUCCGUAGUUAGUAGCUAGAUGGCUUCUUCUCUCUCUUGGAUCUUCAAUACAAAGUUCUCCAUGAUCUUCAUGGAGAUCUAUCCGAUGUAAUCUUCUUUGGCGGUGUGUUUGUCGAGAUCCGAUGAAUUGUGGAUUUGUGAUCAGAUUAUCUAUGAUAUAUAUUUGAGUCUUUGCUGAUUUCUUAUAUGCAUGAUUUGAUAUCCUUGUAAGUCUCUCCGAGUCUUGGGUUUUGUUUGGCCAACUAGAUCUAUGAUUCUUGCAAUGGGAGAAGUGCUUGGUUUUGGGUUCAUACCGUGUGGUGACCUUUCCCAGUGACAGAAGGGGCAACAAAGCACACAUCGUGUUGUUGCCAUCAAGGGUAACAAGAUGGGCUUUUAUCGUAGAUAUGAGAUUGUCCAUCUACAUCAUGUCAUCUUACUUAAGGCGUUACUCUGUUCUUUUGGACUUAAUACACUAGAUGCACGGUGGAUAGCGGUCGACGUGUGGAGUAAUAGUAGUAGAUGCAGAAAGUAUCAGUCUACUUGUUUUGGAUGUGAUGCCUAUAUAUAUAAUCAUUGCCAUAGAUGACGUCACGACUUUGUGCGGUUCUAUCAAUUGCUCGACAGUAAUUCGUUCACCCACCGUCUACUUGCUUUCAUGAGAGAAGCCACUAGUGAACACUACGGCCCCCGGGUCUAUUCACACCUAUCGUUUCCACUUUCGCUUUUACUUUGCUUUGUUACUUUGUUUCUUUCAGUUCUCACUUGGCAAACAAUCUAUAAGGGAUUGACAACCCCUUCAUAGCGUUGGGAGCAAGCUCUUUGUGUUUUUGCAGGUACUUGUGAUAUUCCAUCACUGGAUCGAUACCUUGGUUCUCAAAACUGAGGGAAAUACUUACUGCCGCUGUACUACAUCACCCUUUCCGCUUCGAGGGAACACCAACACAAGGCUUAAAGGCCACGGGAGAAUCCUUUGCAUAUUUGCCUAGGAAGUCCCUAAAGGUGUAGCCGUAGCAGAAGGAUUCCUGGUGCCGUUGAUGAGGAGUAUCAAGACAAGAAUAGUCUCCCGUCAGCACGCUUGUUUCUGGUGCCGUUGGAAGGUCUUUUGUUGCAUCAACAAUUAUCUAUGAAUCUUAUUUGAGUUUCUUCUGAUCUCUCUUAUGCAUGAUUUCAUAUGCUUAUAAUUCUCUUCGAGUUGUGGGUUUUGUCUGGCCAACUAGAUGUAUGAUUUUUGCAAUGGGAGAAGUGCUUGGUUUUGGGUUCAUACCGUGCGGUGACCUCACCCAGUGACAGAAGGGGUAGCGAGGCACGCAUCUUGUUGUUGCCAUCAAGGGUAAAAAGAUGGGGUUUUCAUCAUUGGUUUGAGAUUAUCCCUCUACAUCAUGUCAUCUUGCUUAAGGCGUUACUCUGUUCGUCAUGAACUCAAUACACUAGAUGCAUGCUGGAUAGCGAUCGAUGUGUGGAGUAAUAGUAGUAGAUGCAGAAAGUAUCGGUGUACUUGUCUCGGACGUGAUGCCUAUAUGUAUGAUCAUUGCCUUAGAUAUCAUCAUGACUUUGCGCGGUUCUAUCAAUUGCUCGACAGUAAUUUGUUCACCCACCGUAAUACUUGCUAUUUUGAGAGAAGCCUCUAGUGAACACUAUGGCCCCCAGGGUCUACUCCACACUAUAUUUUCAGCCUUACACUUUUUACUUCGUUGCACUUUUCGCCUUCAGAUAUCACUUUGCAAACAAUCUUGAAGGGAUUGACAACCCCUUUAAAGCGUUGGGUGCAAGCUUGUUUGUGUUUGCGCAGGUACUCUGGACUUGACGAGACCCUCCUUCUGGAUCGAUACCUUGGUUCUCAAACUGAGGGCAAUACUUACUGCAAACCAGAGUAGUAACAAGAAGAAUUCAUAGUGCUAAGGAAGGACUUUUGUUGCCGUAGAAGUGUGUGUCUCUCUCAAAAGGUGUGCAACAAGUAUGAUUGUGACACACAAAAAAAAACUCCUACGAUACAAGACGCUCCAAGCAAAACACAUAUCAUGUGGUGAAUAAAAAUAUAGCUCCAACUAAUGUUACCGAUGGAUUGAAGACGAAAGAGGGGAUGCCUUCCCGGGGCAUCCCCAAGCUUNNNNNNNNNNNNNNNNNNNNNNNNNNNNNNNNNNNNNNNNNNNNNNNNNNNNNNNNNNNNNNNNNNNNNNNNNNNNNNNNNNNNNNNNNNNNNNNNNNNNCGCCCGCCACCGUCACCGUCACGCGCCAGCGCCGUGGACCGCGCCUUUAUUUAUACCGGUGCCGUCGACGGAGCAGCCGGCUGUUACACACGUAGUACGUAGUAACAUCGAGCCCCGUCCCGUUUCGUGGAGGCCGAAGAGGGGGGAGAGAGAGAGAGAGAGNNNNNNNNNNNNNNNNNNNNNNNNNNNNNNNNNNNNNNNNNNNNNNNNNNNNNNNNNNNNNNNNNNNNNNNNNNNNNNNNNNNNNNNNNNNNNNNNNNNNNNNNNNNNNNNNNNNNNNNNNNNNNNAGAGAGAGAGAGAGAGGAGAUCCGGCGCGGAACGGCCAAGGCCAAGGACGCGCUGCUUUGGUGGCGUGGUACGCUGGUAGGGAGUAGUACCUCCGCUGCUGCGCCAUCCCUCGCCCCCACUUACUCGCCGCGCGAGCGCCAUUGAUUGACUGACUGACUGAUUGGAGGGGUGUCGAGGCCGUGGAGCGGGUCUGGGAGUGGCGGAGUGCGGCGCCAUUGCGGAGAGAAUUGGGAGCCGGAGCGGGAGCGGGAGUCGGUGGUUGUCCUAUGUGGCGCUGGUCGGGGCUGUGAGAUCCGCAGCAGCAGCAGCCAUGUCGCGGCCGCUGUACCGGGGCUUCUCUGGUUCCGGCGGCAAGGACCGCUGCGCGGACGAGGACCGCCACUACGANNNNN